GUGGGGAAUCUUGCGCAAUGGGGGCAACCCUGACGCAGCGACGCCGCGUGCGGGACGGAGGCCUUCGGGUCGUAAACCGCUUUCAGCAGGGAAGAGACGAGACUGUACCUGCAGAAGAAGCCCCGGCUAACUACGUGCCAGCAGCCGCGGUAAUACGUAGGGGGCGAGCGUUAUCCGGAUUCAUUGGGCGUAAAGCGCGCGUAGGCGGCCCGGCAGGCCGGGGGUCGAAGCGGGGGGCUCAACCCCCCGAAGCCCCCGGAACCUCCGCGGCUUGGGUCCGGUAGGGGAGGGUGGAACACCCGGUGUAGCGGUGGAAUGCGCAGAUAUCGGGUGGAACACCGGUGGCGAAGGCGGCCCUCUGGGCCGAGACCGACGCUGAGGCGCGAAAGCUGGGGGAGCGAACAGGAUUAGAAACCCUAGUAGUCCC
rnacentral:rRNA from 1 species